rnacentral:rRNA from 1 species
GACGAACGCUGGCGGCGUGCUUAACACAUGCCAGUCGAACGGAAAGGCCUGCUUGCAGGGUACUCGAGUGGCGAACGGGUGAGUAACACGUGGGUGAUCUGCCCUGCACUUCGGGAUAAGCCUGGGAAACUGGGUCUAAUACCGGAUAGGAGCCAUUUUUAGUGUGAUGGUUGGAAAGUUUUUUCGGUGUAGGAUGAGCUCGCGGCCUAUCAGCUUGUUGGUGGGGUAAUGGCCUACCAAGGCGGCGACGGGUAGCCGGCCUGAGAGGGUGGACGGCCACAUUGGGACUGAGAUACGGCCCAGACUCCUACGGGAGGCAGCAGUGGGGAAUAUUGCACAAUGGGCGCAAGCCUGAUGCAGCGACGCCGCGUGGGGGAUGACGGCCUUCGGGUUGUAAACUCCUUUCGCUAGGGACGAAGCUUUUUGUGACGGUACCUAGAUAAGAAGCACCGGCUAACUACGUG